UACGGGGGGGGCAAGCGUUGUUCGGAAUUACUGGGCGUAAAGGGCUCGUAGGCGGCCAACUAAGUCAUACGUGAAAUCCCUCGGCUUAACCGGGGAACUGCGUCUGAUACUGGAUGGCUUGAGUUCGGGAGAGGGAUGCGGAAUUCCAGGUGUAGCGGUGGAAUGCGUAGAGAUCGGGAAGAAUACCUGUGGCGAAGGCGAGUCUCUGGACGAAUCCUGACACUGAGGCACGAAAGCUAGGGGAGCAAACAGG
rnacentral:rRNA from 1 species